GAUGAAGAACGCAGCGAAAUGCGAUAAGUAAUGUGAAUUGCAGAAUUCAGUGAAUCAUCGAAUCUUUGAACGCACAUUGCGCCCGCCAGUAUUCUGGCGGGCAUGCCUGUUCGAGCGUCAUUUCAACCAUCAAGCCCUGCUUGCGUUGGGGUCCUGCGGCUGCCCGCAGGCCCUGAAAACCAGUGGCGGGCUCGCUAGUCACACCGAGCGCAGUAAUACCUCUCGCUUUGGGCGUGCGGCGGGUUCUUGCCGUUAAACACCCCCUUUUUACCAAGGUUGACCUCGGAUCAGGUAGGAAUACCCGCUGAACUUAAGCAUAUCAAUAAGCGGAGGA
rnacentral:misc_RNA from 1 species